rnacentral:pre_miRNA from 13 species
GCCAACGUCAGGGAAAGGACUCUGCUGUCGGUCCCACUGCAAAGUUCACAGAAUGGGUGGUGGGCACCGAAUCCGGACUCUGCCUGUGGC